rnacentral:sRNA from 1 species
GCGAUGAGCUGAAUUGUGUAAGCCGAUGCACAUGCCCUCUGCGGCGCACACGAAUGUGGCGUGUGGUGUAUCGCCUCAAUACGCAAAAGACGUUUGCUUCGGCAAACGUC